GACAGAGGGUGCAAACGUUGUUCGGAAUUACUGGGCGUAAAGCGCGUGUAGGCGGCCAAGCAAGUCGGAUGUGAAAGCCCUCGGCUCAACCGGGGAAGUGCACUCGAAACUGGCGAGCUAGAGUACUGGAGAGGUUGGUGGAAUUCUCGGUGUAGAGGUGAAAUUCGUAGAUAUCAGGAGGAACACCGGUGGCGAAGGCGGCACGCUGGACACCUUCUGACGCUGAGGCGCGAAAGCCAGGGGGAGCAAACGGGG
rnacentral:rRNA from 1 species